GCACCUGGCCGGGCUGCCUCCAUGGAGCUCUUGCCUCCUCCCGGGAUGGCUCCGCGCCUGCCAUAGCUGUGGGCAGCGUCACUAACACUCACCUUGUCCAUGGCUGACUCACGACUACUGCAUCUGCUGAGAGGGAGCACACAAAGUAGGUGUUUAUUCUCCUGAGCAACAGUUUUGCCUUGUAAAAUCUGCUUCCUCAAGUUCCAGAAAUGACCCUAUAAUUAGACCCAGCAUGCUGUGGGCAGACAGAUGUACAGAAGUUAAAUGUGGCACACGCUCUCCUUGCCUGAUCUUCAGAAGAUGUUAGAACAUAAGAAUCUAAUGUCAGUGUCCCCUGAGCUCUUGCCUAUAAAGCAAAGAAUGGUUCUUGGUGAGAUUUCCCAAAUGCAGACUUAAUCUUCAAGGAGCUUCCCCGCAUGUAGACCUGCCACACCUUCAUCGAUGCUGUAUGACUGUCCUGUGAACCAGAUCCUUUCAAGAUCAUGGUCUGAGGAAAGACUAGAUGAAAACAGCUUCUGGAAUCUCUGAAGACUGUGUACACUUAACUGCAGUGGGCAAAUACAAUUUCUUCCCUUAAUCCCUGAAGCUCAGCAGCUAUGGUUUUUCAAGCACCUGGAAGGC